GCUGUUGUAGCUCAGUCGGUAGAGCACUUCAUUGGUAAUGAAGAGGUUCGCGGGUCCGAUUCCCGCCAACAGCUCCA
rnacentral:tRNA from 1 species